rnacentral:rRNA from 1 species
AUUGAACGCUGGCGGCAUGCCUUACACAUGCAAGUCGAACGGUAACAGGUCUUCGGAUGCUGACGAGUGGCGAACGGGUGAGUAAUACAUCGGAACGUGCCUAGUAGUGGGGGAUAACUACUCGAAAGAGUGGCUAAUACCGCAUGAGAUCUACGGAUGAAAGCAGGGGAUCGCAAGACCUUGUGCUACUAGAGCGGCCGAUGGCAGAUUAGGUAGUUGGUGGGAUAAAAGCUUACCAAGCCGACGAUCUGUAGCUGGUCUGGGAGGACGAUCGGCAGCGCUGGGGCUGAGACACGGGCGAGGCUGCUACGGGGGGGAGCAGUGGGGAGUGUGGGACAAGGGGCGCAAGCCUGAUCCAGCAAUGCCGCGUGCAGGAAGAAGGCCUUCGGGUUGUAAACUGCUUUUGUACGGAACGAACCGGCUCUGGUUAAUACCCGGGGCUAAUGACGGUACCGUAAGAAUAAGCACCGGCUAACUACGUGCCAGCCGCCGCCGUAA